rnacentral:rRNA from 1 species
UUCCGGUUGAUCCUGCCGGAGGGAACCCCUAUCGGGUUCAGACUAAGCCAUGCGAGUCGGCUGGGGGCACUUGCCCCUGGCGGCGCACGGCUCAGUAAUACGCGGUCAACCUACCCUGGGGACCGGGAUAACCUCGGGAAACUGAGGCUAAUCCCGGAUGGGUGUAGGGUGCUGAAAUGCCCCUACGCCGAAAGUAGGCGGGAAAUGGACCGCUGAGGCCCCAGGAUGGGACCGCGGCCUAUCAGGUAGUAGGUGGGGUAACGGCCCACCUAGCCUACGACGGGUACGGGCCCUGAGAGGGGGAGCCCGGAGAUGGGCACUGAGACAAGGGUCUAGGCCCUAAGGGGCGCAGCAGGCGCGAAGAUUCCGCAAUGCCCGAAAGGGCGACGGAGUGAACCCGAGUGACACCCGCUGAGGGUGGCUGUUCCCCUGUGUAAAAAGCAGGGGGUAGGAAGGGGAGGGCAAGGCUGGUGGCAGCCGCCGCGGUAAAACCAGCUCCCCGAGGGGUUCCCACGCAUACUGGGUCUAAAGCGUCCGUAGCCGGCCCUGUAAGUCCGCAGUUAAAUCCGCCUGUAGACAGGCGGGCUGCUGCGGAUACUGCAGGGCUAGGGAGCGGGAGGAGCCGGGGGUAUUCCCGGGGGAGCGGUAAAAUGCGUAGAUCCCGGGAGGACCACCAGUGGCGAAGGCGCCCGGCUUGAACGCGUCCGACGGUGAGGGACGAAAGCUGGGGGAGCAAACCGGAUUAGAUACCCGGGUAGUCCCAGCCGUAAACGAUGCCGGCUAGGUGCUGGCCAAGGUUUCGACCUUGGCCAGUGUCGAAGCGAA